GACGAACGCUGGCGGCGUGCUUAACACAUGCAAGUCGAACGGAAAGGCCCUGCUUUUGUGGGGUGCUCGAGUGGCGAACGGGUGAGUAACACGUGAGUAGCCUGCCCUUGACUUUGGGAUAACUCCAGGAAACUGGGGCUAAUACCGGAUAGGAGCUCCUGCUGCAUGGUGGGGGUUGGAAAGUUUCGGCGGUUGGGGAUGGACUCUCGGCUUAUCAGCUUGUUGGUGGGGUAGUGGCUUACCAAGGCUUUGACGGGUAGCCGGCCUGAGAGGGUGACCGGCCACAUUGGGACUGCGAUACGGCCCAGACUCCUACGGGCGGCAGCGGUGGGGAAUAUUGCGCAAUGGGCGGAAGCCUGAUGCAGCAACGCCGCGUGCGGGAUGACGGCCUUCGGGUUGUAAACCGCUUUCGCCUGUGACGAAGCGUGAGUGACGGUAAUGGGUAAAGAAGCACCGGCUAACUACGUG
rnacentral:rRNA from 1 species